rnacentral:lncRNA from 1 species
AGACAGUCUCAUUUCAAUUUCACUAUAAAUAUUGGACGACAUUUAUCCUGAUCAUAUCCGCUCAAGUCUAAAUAAACCACACAAUCAGCCUUCACCACUUUUCCACUAUUCUUACAAACAAAUGGCUAUCUUUUCGCCCAUUCUCAAUUGCUUCAUGCCAUUGUCAAACUCACAGGUCUCAGAUGAUGCAGGAGGCAGUGCAAAAGCUCCUUCUUUAAAGGAAUCCAAGAAAAGCAAAUCAAAAUCAUCGUCGUCGUCGGGAGCUCCCAUCAUAGUUUCUUACUUCCCCCAUAAUUCCUAUCGUUCUCUCUUGUGAUUGUGAUUGUUUUUCUGCGUGCAAGAAAAGCAAGUUUUGAAUUUGAGUAUGCCUACUUCAAUACUGUAAAUAGAUGAGGAGUUGGCCUGGAUACACACAGAAGCCAAUUGGGUGUAGUACGAUAUGAUUGAUUGUUAAUUUCUUCUUUAAAUUCAGGGUUUUGGUGUUGAUAAUUUGAUUGCGAUUUAAGUAAUAAAACUGCCCAGAAGCAGCUAUAUUUGCCUUUCA